rnacentral:rRNA from 1 species
UACGUAGGGUCCGAGCGUUGUCCGGAAUCAUUGGGCGUAAAGCGCGUGUAGGCGGCUCGAUAAGUCCGGUGUGAAACCUUGGGGCUCAACCCCAAGCCUGCACUGGAUACUGUCGAGCUAGAGUCCGGGAGGGGAGAGCGGAAUUCCUAGUGUAGCGGUGAAAUGCGCAGAUAUCAGGAGGAACACCGGUGGCGAAGGCGGAUCUCUGGGCCUUACCUGACGCUGAGGCGCGAAAGCUAGGGGAGCGAACAGG